AUUGAACGCUGGCGGCAGGCCUCACACAUGCAAGUCGAACGAGUGGCGGACGGGUGAGUAAUGUCUGUGAAACUGCCUGAUGGAGGGGGAUAACUCCUGGAAACGGUAGCUAAUACCGCAUACCAUCCGAUUUGCCCAGAUUGGAGUAGCUAGUUGGUGGGGUAACGGCUCACCAAGGCGACGAUCCCUAGCUGGUCUGAGAGGAUGACCAGCCACACUGGAACUGAGACACGGUCCAGAAUCCGACGGGAGGCAGCAGUGGGGAAUAUUUGACAAUGGGCGAAAGCCUGAUGCAGCCAUGCCGCGUGUAUGAAGAAGGCCUUCGGGUUGUAAAGUACUUUCAGCGGGGAGGCGGUACCCGCAGAAGAAGCACCGGCUAACUCCGUGCCAGCAGCCGCGGUAAUAC
rnacentral:rRNA from 1 species